AAAGCCCUAAUAAAUAUCUACACACAAAAAAAAAAAAAAAAAAAAAAAAAUCAAACCAAAGUAAGUGAAGGGUGGACUGAGAACAUGUUAGUUGACCACCCCUGGGAGGUCCAGGCUGGGGACACUUUGGGUCCUAGAGAGAAGACGUGGCAUCCAGGGAGAUCUGGGGCCCUUCACUCUGAGAUGUGAGGACUUAGCCACCACAAUAGGUUCUGAGCCUCCGCCAGAGAAAGGAGGGAAGGGAAUGGGGUCCCAGGGGAGGAGGAGAGGGCAGCAUGCCUGCCCGAGCAGGAGCCCUCUGCCUGGGGACCGGAGGUCAGCAGGGGAGGCAUGCACCGGUCACUUGUGAAGAUGGGUGGGGAACAAAGGAUGCUCCCGCCUGGGCCAGUGGCCUUGAGGAGGUCACAGUUGGCCACCUCUCUGCAGGCAGCUCAGGCCUGAGGAAGGGAUGAAGACUAGGCCAGUGAAGACAGCCAGAGGAGCAGCCACCAGUCAAAAGGCUUGAAGGAGGCGCCCAAGGCACAGCCAGGACUAGACCCUGAGGCUCUGGGACACUGGGACCCAUCAGGCAGGGAUAGGUGCAGGUGGGCUAACACAGGCCAGGCUGUGAGGCAGAGAUCCACUCAACAUGUAGGUUUCACAGCGGGUAGCCCUGGGGGACCACAAAGCCCAUAGUGACUGUGGCGGUGGGCAGGUAAAGGGAGUGGCAUCAUCAGAAAUGGAAGGCUCAGGGAGUGAGUGGCCACAGCUCUAGACCGGUCAUCUAUGAGGUCAUGCGAGUCACCCAGGUUGCCGGCAUGGAAGGUGUCCAGAUGGUGGGGACAGCAGCGAGGAUGUCCGCAGCAGCCUUGUCGGGUCCUCAGGCUGAGUCACGGGGAGAGUCCAGACUGGGAGGAGGCGGCGAUUGAUGCAGGUGAAGGAGCCGCCACCGGAACCAUCUCCCAGGUGCCUUCUUUCCCAGGAGGUGGCAUCGCACCCGCCCUGGUACCCACCCCUGUUGAUUCAGCCUUAACAAACCCUGCCCUGGACACCAGAUGUCCUCCCCAAAGGCCCCGGCCUGUGCCUCCAUCCAGCGCCCGCCCAUCCUCCACACUGCUGCAGCCGUCUUCCUUGGGCCCAGCUGGCUCCUUGCCUUCCUCCUGCCCUGAAGUUUCCCAUCAUCCUCCGCGGGGACUCCAACCACGGGUCCCUUACUUCCUGUUCCCCUAGUGCCAUGCCCUGGGCCACACCAUUCCAGCCACCAGCACCCAGCAGGGAAUGAAUGCCCUCUCAUUGGGAAUGAAUGCCAGUCCCAAUACGAAUAAAAAGCAAGGACCCUGAUGUCCCGAUGUCCUAAGUCCUUUGGGUCCAGAGUCCUAAGUUUCAGUCACUAAAGAUAAGUAAUAAAACAGUUGAAAUCCCCACUCACCAUAGUGUGGGAAGUAUCUCCGUGUUUCUGGGGCUUCCCGGGAGGAACCACGGUCCCUGUCAACUUUCACUCCUUGCCCCCUGUCCCCUUCAAUCCCCA
rnacentral:lncRNA from 1 species